UGUAAAGUUCAAGCUCCGAUUAUGAGGGCGAAACCGCGAAUGGCUCAUUAAAUCAGUCAUAAUCUACUUGAUUGUUUAAAGUUUAUAUGGAUAACUGUGGUAAUUCUAGAGCUAAUACAUGCACAAAGGGGGCGACUCUCGCAAGGGAGAAGCUCUGCGUUUAUUAGACUAAGACCAAUGAGAGCCUAAAAAACUCUCUCUAAUUAGUGGUGACUCUGAAUAAAUAAUGGGUGAAAGCCCAUGUUGCCGACCUGACAUACCAAAAAGCUUUCCCUUCAUAGGGGUUUGCUUGUCAGGCAAAUCAAUCGAGUGUCUGCUCUAUCAACUGUGGAUGGUAGGAUAAUUGCCUACCAUGGUGGUGACGGGUAACGGGGAGUUAGGGCUCGACUCCGGAGAACAAGCCUGAGAAACGGCUAGUAGGACUAAGGUCUGCAGCAGGCGCGAAACUUACACAAUGCUAGAUUACCAUUUUAGCGAUGUAGUGAAGAAAAAUAACGAUGUACUUCCAUUUAAACAUGGUAGUACAAUUGGAAUGAGACGACUCUAAACCAGUCAGUCGAGUAACAAAUGGAGGGCAAGUCUGGUGCCAGCAGCCGCGGUAAUUCCAGCUCCAUUAGCAUACAUUAAAGUUGUUGCGGUUAAAAAGCUCGUAGUUGAAUUUCAUGCGAGUUUCGUUGGGGUGCAACCGUUCAAGGUCACGAGUAGGCUCCGUUGUCUACGCCUUAAAAAGCUAGCAUCGUCCUCUUGUUGGCUGGUUGUCGCUUUCCACUUGAAACUCGCUGUUUCGUCACUUAAUCAAGUGCGAAGCAAGCUGGAACAUCAAGUUGCGAUUCAUUUCGUAUACUAUGUUACAGCAAGUUUACCUUGAGAAAAUUAGAGUGCUCACAGCAGGCAGUUGGGGUGUAAAAACCUCUUUAUGCUUGAAUAAUGUUGCAUGGAAUAAUAGAAUACGGCCUCGGUUCUAUUCUGUUGGUCUUAUAGAACAACAAAUAAGUUGAUUGAGGCGUCAAACGGUCGGUUUGUGAGUGUGGUUAGAUUGUAGCUAGAUCUUGGUUCACUUGUUGCCUGGGGCCUUAAAAUCUCAGCUGCCUUGUAGCCAUGUUUAUCUAGUUCGCUAACCAUCUAAAGCACUCCUUACGCAGGCUAGCCUUUCCAAUCAACUGAGGCAAUGGUUAAAAGAAAUAGUCGCGGCGGCAUCAGUACUGCAUCGUGAGAGGUGAAAUUCUUAGACCGAUGCAAGACUAACUGAAGCGAAAGCGUUUGCCGAGGAUAUUUUCAUUAAUCAAGAACGAAAGUUAGAGGUUCGAAGGCGAUCAGAUACCGCCCUAGUUCUAACCAUAAACGUUGCCAACUAGCAAUUGGGUUGCGAUUCCUUUAAUCGAAGCGUAAAAAACUUCGAUCAUUAUGAUCCACCCAGCGGCUCUCGUAGGGAAACCAAAGUGUUUGGGUUCCGGGGGAAGUAUGAUUGCAAAGUUGAAACUUAAAGGAAUUGACGGAAGGGCACCACCAGGAGUGGAGCCUGCGGCUUAAUUUGACUCAACACGGGGAAACUUACUAGAUUAGAACUCUGGAAUGAUUGACAGAUUGAUAGCUCUUUCUUGAUUCAGAGGAUGGUGGUGCAUGGCCGUUCUUGAUUCGUAUUCCGAAACGUCUGCUUAAUUGCGAUAACGAGUGAGACCUCACCCAACUAACUAGUCGUUUGGUGCGCUGUUGGAACGCUAAAAUUCUAACUUGGUUUAAGGUAAGCUAGGUAGGGGAAACUUUGCUUGGUUUGCUACUCUUGUUAGAAUGUUCUCUGCUCGCCAGCGGACUUCUUAGAGGGAUAAACGGUGUUUUAGCCGUAAGAAACGAGGCAAUAACAGGUCUGUGAUGCCCUUAGAUAUUCUAGGCCGCACGCGUGCUACAAUGGCGUGUGCAGAAAGCUUGUUCGAGGUCUGACCAGAGAGAACUACUUACUUGGUUGGUGUGUUGGGGCAACCUAGCGCAUUAGUCGGUUUGAAAGUGACUCUGGUUUUUCCAGGCCGAGAGAAACCGUAGCCGAAAGGUUACGGCAAUCAUAAAUACACGCCGUGAUUUGGGAUUGGGGAUUGCAAUUGUUGCCCAUGAACGAGGAAUUCCCAGUAAGCGCAAUUCAUCAUAUUGCGUUGAUUACGUCCCUGCCCUUUGUACACACCGCCCGUCGCUACUACCGAUUGGAAGUUUUAGUGAGGCAUUUGGACCUGCUGGCUCUAGAGAAGGUAACUUCUCCUUGCUUGGCGGGGAAGUCUGUCGAACUCAAAUUUCUAGAGGAAGUAAAAGUCGUAACAAGGUUUCCGU
rnacentral:rRNA from 1 species